rnacentral:rRNA from 1 species
UACGUAGGCAGCGAGCGUUGUUCGGAAUUACUGGGCGUAAAGAGUGUGUAGGCGGUGCUCUAAGUUCGGUGUGAAAUCUCCUGGCGUCAACUGGGAGGGUGCGCCGGAAACUGGAGUGCUUGAGCGUGGGAGAGGAAAGCGGAAUUCCUGGUGUAGCGGUGAAAUGCGCAGAUAUCGAGGAGGAACAGCCGGUGGCCGGAAGGCGGGUCUCUG